GACGUAGGGCGCGAGCGUUGUCCGGAUUUAUUGGGCGUAAAGAGCUCGUAGGCGGCUUGUCGCGUCGUCUGUGAAAUCCCGCGGCUCAACCGCGGGUCUGCAGUCGAUACGGGCAGGCUAGAGUUCGGUAGGGGAGACUGGAAUCCCUGGUGUAGCGGUGAAAUGCGCAGAUAUCAGGAGGAACACCGAUGGCGAAGGCAGGUCUCUGGGCCACUACUGACGCUGAGAAGCGAAAGCAUGGGGAGCGAACAGG
rnacentral:rRNA from 1 species